UUUUAUCCAUAUUGACCCAAAUGAACUGCCACAUUGCUGAAGCCUUGUGAACACAGACCACCACCAUACUGCUGAGGGUAAAAUUUGCUAAACAAUAGCAAUUCAAGUGCAUGUACUAGGGUUUUUUGUUUUUUUUUUUUCCCUUAAAUCAGUUGGUUUUCUUAUUUAAAUGUUUCAGUGUGAGACCAAUUUUCUGAAAUUAUAUAAUGCAGUUUGAAGCACUUUAAUUUAUUCUGUACUGUAUUUGUUAUUUCUAAUCUUGUUACUCUCCCGGGAGAAUACAUGACCUAUAUAAAAAGAAGCAAUGUAUAAAU
rnacentral:lncRNA from 1 species